AAAACGGCAGAACCUUUCCUUCCAUCCGUGCGCUUCUACCUCCCAAAUCCCAACCAAUCCCCUCGCCGAUGUCGAGCGGCGCCGCCCCCCGCCGCUCGUCGUCGGCCGCGACGGCCAAGCGCCCCGCCGUGGCAGCGGCGGAGAGAGCCGGCGUGGGGGCGAAGGCCGCGGCGCAGGCCAACAAGCGGGCCGCGCUCGGCGACGUCACCAACGUCGCCGCGGGGGGAGCCGGAACGCGAGGGAGGGCCGGUGGCUCCAGGAAGGCCUCGGCCGCACCGGCGGGCGCCGCCGCCUCGAAGCUGAAUUCAGCUACCUCAGCUGCACCAGUGAAGAACGUAUCAUUGGCAAGUGCUUGCUAUGUGGGCUCAGGUCGGGGUUGCGCUGUGAAAUCGGCUACUGCCAAGACAGGUCAAGCUGUAUCUUGCCAUGACAGCACAACACAAAAGCACAAUGUUCCUCCUGCAGAAGUGGCCACUGUUGUGCGUGAGCUGAAUGUCGCUCCUGCCCCUGCACUCUGCAGCAGCAUUGUGUCUCCCCAAUACUUAGAGGACUCAGUUUGCAUUGAUGGGACGGUGUCGACCUGUGACUCAAUGAAAAGCCCAGAUUAUGAGUACAGUAAUAAUGGGGACUCAAUGCUCACGUCAUUGGAGGGACAAGCAAAUGAGAACCUAUGUAUCUUGGAGGAUAGAGAUGGUCAUGAAACCAAGUGGAAGAAAAAUUCCCCUCAUCCAAUGGAAAUAGACUAUGUUUGUUCUGUUGACAAUAACAAUGACGAGCCGCGGUUGUAUCCUGCUCUUGCUUCUGACAUCUACAUGCUCUUGCGUGAGGCUGAGAGUAAGGAAAGGCCGUCAACUGAUUUUAUGAAAACAAUUCAAAAGGAUAUAAACCCAAGCAUGAGGGCUAUUUUGGUAGAUUGGCUUGUGGAAGUUGCUGAAGAAUAUCGUCUUGUUCCUGAUACUUUAUAUCUGACAGUUAACUACAUUGACCGAUAUCUUUCUGGCAACAAAAUCAGCCGUCAGAGGCUGCAACUACUUGGUGUUGCAUGCAUGCUUAUAGCAGCAAAACGUGAAGAGAUAUGUGCACCCCAAGCAGAAGAAUUUUGCUACAUAACUGACAAUACAUAUUUCAGAGAUGAGGUUUUAGAAAUGGAAGCUUCUGUCCUGAAUUGCCUGAAAUUUCAAAUGGGUGCGCCUACAGCAAAGUGUUUUUUGAGGAGAUUUCUUCGUGCUGCACAAGCAUGUGAUGAGGAUCCAGCAUAUAUUGAGGUUCUGGCAAAUUACAUCACUGAGCUAUCAUUGCUGGAGUACAAUCUACUUUGUUACCCUCCUUCACAAAUAGCAGCCUCAGCUAUCUUCUUGGCAAAAUAUAUACUCUAUCCAACCAAGCAUCCUUGGAAUCCCACACUUGCUCGCAACACACGGUACAAGCCAUCAGAAUUGUGCGAGAGUGUAAAGGCGCUGCACCACCUUUUGAGUACUGCUCCUUUGAAUAACCUUCAUGCAGUCAGAGAAAAGUACAAGUACAUUGUCACAGAGAUGCAAUGUCCAGCAUCGAUCCCUACUGGGUUCUUCGAGGACGCGACGCGCUAGAGGAAAAAAUGCCAAGUUGCGGGGAGCAUCUGCACAGGUGUUGGUUGAUGCGGGAGUGCACCCCCCCCCCCCCCCCCACCCCGGGUUAAUUCAGGAUGAAUUUUUGUUUGAGUGAACAAUAGACCCUACAGAUGCUGACAUUUGGUUGGUUUUGAAGAGUGAUCCCCACUUCGUACCCUCUUUAGGCGGGCCAUGUUAGAUUUGUUCGGUUGUUCAUGGAGUGAACCGCCCCCGUCGAGUUCAUGGAAUGAACAGCGUCACAUCUUCAGGUUAUGCCUUGAUCGUGCUGGAGUGUUAGGAAUCCGCUUGCUUGGAUACACAAAAUCAGCACAGCCGCCAACUGGUAUAUGUUGCAAUCACACCAUGAUACAAGUUAAAUGGAGAAAGGCGAAACAAUAUCUAUGUCACGGACAGCUUAUCUGGGCUUGCCCCGUUCUUCUAUCAUCUUCAUAUUGGGCCGUAAGCCGGUCUGCGAGCCGCUGGUCGUGUAGCCGAUUCGGCCCGUUAACUAAUUAAGACUAUAUGACUCGCAGUGUA